AAACGGUGAAUAAUACCGGAUACUCCUUCUCACUUAAUGUGAGUCGGGAAAGUUUUUCGCUAAGGGAUCGGCCUAUGUCCUAUCAGGUAGUUGGUGAGGUAAGAGCUCACCAAGCCUAUGACGGGUAGCGGGUCUGAGAGGAUGAUCCGCCACACUGGUACUGAGACACGGACCAGACUCCUACGGGAGGCAGCAGUGGGGAAUAUUGCACAAUGGACGAAAGUCUGAUGCAGCAACGCCGCGUGGAGGAUGACACAUUUCGGUGCGUAAACUCCUUUUAUAUGAGAAGAUAAUGACGGUAUCAUAUGAAUAAGCACCGGCUAACUCCGUGCCAGCAGCCGCGGUAAUACGGAGGGUGCAAGCGUUAUUCGGAAUCACUGGGCGUAAAGGGUGCGUAGGCGGUUUGGAAAGUCAGAUGUGAAAUCCUACAGCUUAACUGUAGAACUGCAUUUGAAACUUCCAGACUAGAAUACUGAAGGGGCAGAUGGAAUUAGUGGUGUAGGGGUAAAAUCCGUAGAUAUCACUANGNGAAUACCGAAAGCGAAAGCGAUCUGCUGGGAAGUUAUUGACGCUGAGGCACGAAAGCGUGGGGAGCAAACGGGAUUAGAUACCCCGGUAGUCCACGCCCUAAACGAUGAAUGCUAGUCGUCGGAAAGCUCGUCUUUUCGGUGAUGCAGUUAACACAUUAAGCAUUCCGCCUGGGGANGUACGGNUCGCUAGAUUAANAACUCAAAGGAAUAGACGGGGACCCGCACAAGUGGUGGAGCAUGUGGUUUAAUUCGAAGAUACUCGAAGAACCUUACCUAGCCUUGACAUUGAUAGAAUCUGGUAGAGAUAUCGGAGUGACUGCUUGCUGGAACUUGUUUCAGGUGUUGCAUCGCUGUCGUCUUCUCGUGUCUUGAGAUGUUGGGUUUAGUCCAACGCCGUGAAACUACCCCUUAU
rnacentral:rRNA from 1 species